rnacentral:rRNA from 1 species
UGCGUAGACGGUUACAUAAGUCUGGUGUGAAAUCCCCGCGCUUAACGUGGGCAUUGCAUUUGAAACUAUGUAGCUAGAGUUCUGUAGAGGGGGGUAGAAUUCCAGGUGUAGCGGUGAAAUGCGUAGAGAUCUGGAGGAAUACCGAUUGCGAAGGCAGCCCCCUGGACAGUGACUGACGCUCAUAUGCGAAAGCGUGGGGAUCAAACAGGAUUAGAUACCCUUGUA